rnacentral:sRNA from 1 species
UAUCCCUGCCCGAGGCUACCUUUGCCUUUAACUACUCCGUACCGUCGGCUCCGAUAGGCGGUAGGACACUCCUGCUACAGGGCUGAAUCCUCACCAAACUGCCUGGCUUUUGACUGAUACGGGCAAACAUGCAGACUCGGAGACAAGAAUGACAGCGUGGCAAUGUGGCGAAACGGGUGAGGUGAUCAUCCACUUCGUAUGAGCCUUACUACUGUAGCAAAAGGCGUUUCUUCCUCUUCAGGUUAUUCCAUGAAGUUAUCUUUUGUAAAAAAAAAAAAAAAAAAAAAAAAAAAAAAAAAAAAAAAAAAACACAUGAAUAUCAGGCGCGUUUCUGAAACGUACUUUUAAGCAGGAAAUUAGCCAAGCAAGCUGCUCCGCUGGUUUGAUAUUUUAAACUGGGGGGAAUGCUGGUUUAAAGUUGGACCGGCAGCAACGCGCUGCAGGGAGCAGCAAGCAAGCCAUGACGAAAGAAAGCCACCGGCCCAGGUAACUCCUGCAUACAAUGGAAGCCCCAUUACGGAUUAAACUUUGCGAAUCUGAUACGAGGGGGGGGAUCUGUUGGCAUCGUAAUCCGCAAUCGAAAAGUCGAUUUGGUGGCGGGCCCCGAUCCCUAGCCAAUUGCUGCUAUUUGAUUGCGACGUUACGCCGCGUGUUUGAACAAGCGGGCCUUUUUUAACGGCAUGAAAAAUAAUAAUAAUCAUCACUCAUCACAACAAAUAACU